rnacentral:rRNA from 1 species
CUGCUGCCUCCCGUAGGAGUUUGGGCCGCGUCUCAGUCCCAAUGUGGCCGUUCACCCUCUCAGGCCGGCUACUGAUCGUUGCCUUGGUAGGCCAUUACCCCACCAACUAGCUAAUCAGACGCGGAACCAUCGUAUACCACCAGAGUUUUUCACACCGCUUCAUGCGAAGCUGUGCGCUUAUGCGGUAUUAGCACCUAUUUCUAAGUGUUAUCCCCCAGUAUACGGCAGGUUUUCCACGCGUUACUCACCCGUCCGCCA